ACCGGUUGUAAAAAGGUAAUACCACACAGGGAAACCUUUAUUCUUUGGCGGCCUCUUUCCUAAUCAGAGGAACUUGUCUAUAAAUCGAAAUUACCCGCCCAUUUUCUCUUUUAUUCAGUCUUUAUACCGUCAUCUAAAGAAUCCACUUAAAAGUAGCAUUCCAAAACGAAAAAUUCAACCAAGUUAGAUCAAGGUGAAACGCAUACAAAAGAUUAGAUGAGUUAUUUAUAAAAGAUAUUUAAAGAUUAACCUCUAAAGAAAAAAUGAAUCAAGAUUUGAUAGUACUUUCAGAUUACAACUCCAAAAGAAAUUAGAAAAAAAAGGUGU
rnacentral:rRNA from 1 species